UAGAGUUUGGAUCCUGGCUCAGGACGAACGCUGGCGGCGUGCCUAAUACAUGCAAGUCGAGCGGACGGAUGGGAGCUUGCUCCCAGACCGUCAGCGGCGGACGGGUGAGUAACACGUGGGCAACCUGCCUGUAAGACUGGGAUAACUCCGGGAAACCGGGGCUAAUACCGGAUAACUCUUUUCCUCACAUGAGGAAAAGCUGAAAGAUGGCAUCUCGCUAUCACUUACAGAUGGGCCCGCGGCGCAUUAGCUAGUUGGUGAGGUAACGGCUCACCAAGGCGACGAUGCGUAGCCGACCUGAGAGGGUGAUCGGCCACACUGGGACUGAGACACGGCCCAGACUCCUACGGGAGGCAGCAGUAGGGAAUCUUCCGCAAUGGACGAAAGUCUGACGGAGCAACGCCGCGUGAGUGAUGAAGGUUUUCGGAUCGUAAAACUCUGUUGUCAGGGAAGAACCAAGUACCCGGAGUAACUGCCGGUACCCUGACG
rnacentral:rRNA from 1 species